rnacentral:rRNA from 1 species
UCGUUGUUUCCGAUGAUGGUGCAAUACAGGUGAUCGGACUGGGGGCCAUUGGUUUCCGGGAAGUUCACCGAUAUUUCUUCAAUAGAGGAAGCAA